UACGAAGGGGGCUAGCGUUGUUCGGAUUUACUGGGCGUAAAGCGCACGUAGGCGGAUCUUUAAGUCAGAGGUGAAAUCCCAAGGCUCAACCUUGGAACUGCCUUUGAUACUGGGGAUCUUGAGUACGGGAGAGGAGAGUGGAAUUCCCAGUGUAGAGGUGAAAUUCGUAGAUAUUGGGAAGAACACCGGUGGCGAAGGCGGCUCUCUGGACCGUAACUGACGCUGAGGCGCGAAAGCGUGGGGAGCAAACAGG
rnacentral:rRNA from 1 species